AAGCGAUGAUUGAUAGUUGCGCCGCUGCGACGGUUGGGUCUGUCGCUCACUUCAGAUCACUGAUGAAGUAGUUAAUGGCGUUGCUGAGCUU